rnacentral:rRNA from 1 species
GAUGAACGCUGGCGGCGUGCCUAAAACAUGCAAGUCGAGCGGUAAGGCCUCUUCGGAGGUACACGAGCGGCGGACGGGUGAGUAACACGUGGGAAUCUACCCCAAACUGAGGGAUAAGCACCGGAAACGGUGUCUAAUACCGCAUAUGGUCUUCGGAUUAAAGCUUCGGCGGUUUGGGAAGAGCCCGCGUAAGAUUAGCUAGUAGGUGAGGUAAAGGCUUACCAAGGCGACGAUCUUUAGCUGGUUUGAGAGGAUGAUCAGCCACACUGGAACUGAGACACGGUCCAGACUCCUACGGGAGGCAGCAGUUAGGAAUUUUCCACAAUGGGCGAAAGCCUGAUGGAGCAACGCCGCGUGCAGGAUGAAGGUUUUCGGAUUGUAAACUGCUUUUAUACGUGAAGAAUAUGACGGUAACAUAUGAAUAAGGAUCGGCUAACUCCGUGCCAGCAGCCGCCGUAA